rnacentral:rRNA from 1 species
UACGGGGGGGGCAAGCGUUAAUCGGAAUUACUGGGCGUAAAGCGCGCGCAGGCGGCUUUGCAAGUCGGGUGUGAAAUCCCCAGGCUUAACCUGGGAACUGCAUUCGAGACUGCAUUGCUAGAGUAUGGGAGAGGGAAGUGGAAUUUCCGGUGUAGCGGUGAAAUGCGUAGAUAUCGGAAGGAACAUCAGUGGCGAAAGCGACUUCCUGGACCAAUACUGACGCUCAUGUGCGAAAGCGUGGGGAGCAAACAGG